rnacentral:tRNA from 1 species
GGGCCUGUAGCUCAACGGUUAGAGCAGCGGACUCAUAAUCCGUUGGUUGUAGGUUCAAAUCCUACCGGGCCCA